rnacentral:tRNA from 1 species
AAGACUGUAGCACAGUGGGUAGAGUACUUGCCCAGCAUGCAGGAGGCCCUGGGUUCAAUCCCCAGCACUUUAU